CCUAGCGCUUCCUGAGGACUCAAAGCACUCUGGCAGACACCACAAUCACCGAACCGGAGAAACAAAUAAAUUCUCCCAAGCAUAUGAAUGCUGUAGACAGUUGGAUAGGAACCAUUCGAAUAGGUUUACUCUCCUAGCAGUCAAACUGGAACAGCAUACAAUAAAUUUUUCCCCCAAUAAUGAGACAACACUUCACUUUGAGGGUUAAAACAGGAACUCCCUGUACUGUCACAUACAGUCUCUUUUAUUCCCAAUCCACAAACAUAAUACAGCCCACAGGGCGUUACAAAACAACCAAUCAAUCCGUACAAUACACCCAGACACUCCCACACAAAAUCCUCCCCUCUGCAUGUGAUAUAAGUACUGAACACAAUGGGUAAUCUCAUUAUCACCGGCAGAGGAAUACAGUUUUUACACAAUAUUUAUAACUUCUA